CUACGUGCCAGCAGCCGCGGUAAUACGUAGGGCGCGAGCGUUGUCCGGAAUUAUUGGGCGUAAAGAGCUUGUAGGCGGUUUGUCGCGUCUGCUGUGAAAGGCCGGAGCUUAACUCCGUGUAUUGCAGUGGGUACGGGCAGACUAGAGUGCAGUAGGGGAGACUGGAAUUCCUGGUGUAGCGGUGGAAUGCGCAGAUAUCAGGAGGAACACCGAUGGCGAAGGCAGGUCUCUGGGCUGUAACUGACGCUGAGAAGCGAAAGCAUGGGGAGCGAACAGGAUUAGAUACCCUGGUAGUCCAUGCCGUAAACGUUGGGCACUAGGUGUGGGGAACAUUCCACGUUUUCCGCGCCGUAGCUAACGCAUUAAGUGCCCCGCCUGGGGAGUACGGCCGCAAGGCUAAAACUCAAAGAAAUUGACGGGGGCCCGCACAAGCGGCGGAGCAUGCGGAUUAAUUCGAUGCAACGCGAAGAACCUUACCAAGGCU
rnacentral:rRNA from 1 species